rnacentral:rRNA from 1 species
CCUACGGGCGGCAGCAGUAGGGAAUUUUCGUCAAUGGGCGCAAGCCUGAACGAGCAAUGCCGCGUGAACGAGGAAGGUCUUCGGAUCGUAAAGUUCUGUUGAAGGGGAAAAAGAGCGGAGAGAGGAAAUGCUUUCUGAUUGAUAUUACCCUUCGAGGAAGUCACGGCUAACUACGUGCCAGCAGCCGCGGUAAUACGGAGGAUGCGAGCGUUAUCCGGAUUUAGUGGGUUUAAAGGGUGCGUGGGCGGAUUUUUAAGUCAGCGGUAAAAUGUCCGGGCUCAACCCGGGCCGGCCGUUGAAACUGGGGAUCUUGAGUGGGCGAGAAGUAUGCGGAAUGCGUGGUGUAGCGGUGAAAUGCAUAGAUAUCACGCAGAACUCCGAUUGCGAAGGCAGCAUACCGGCGCCCGACUGACGCUGAGGCACGAAAGCGUGGGGAUCGAACAGGAUUAGAUACCCUGGUAGUC